UACGUAGGUGGCAAGCGUUGUCCGGAUUUACUGGGCGUAAAGAGCGCGCAGGCGGCUGGUCAAGUCCGAUGUGAAAUCUCCCGGCUUAACUGGGAAACUGCAUCGGAAACUGAUCGGCUUGAAGGUGGGAGAGGGUAGUGGAAUUCCCGGCGUAGUGGUGAAAUGCGUAGAUAUCGGGAGGAACACCAGUGGCGAAGGCGACUACCUGGCCUGUUCUUGACGCUGAGGCGCGAAAGCUAGGGGAGCAAACGGG
rnacentral:rRNA from 1 species